rnacentral:rRNA from 1 species
GACGAACGCUGGCGGCGUGCCUAAUACACGCAAGUCGAGCGGACUUUCAAGAAGCUUGCUUUUUGAAAGUUAGCGGCGGACGGGUGAGUAACACGUGGGCAACCUGCCUGCAAGACGGGGAUAACUCCGGGAAACCGGGGCUAAUACCGGAUAAUAUCUUCCUUCGCAUGAAGGAAGGUUGAAAGGCGGCGCAAGCUGCCGCUUGCAGAUGGGCCCGCGGCGCAUUAGCUAGUUGGUGAGGUAACGGCUCACCAAGGCGACGAUGCGUAGCCGACCUGAGAGGGUGAUCGGCCACACUGGGACUGAGACACGGCCCAGACUCCUACGGGAGGCAGCAGUAGGAAAUCUUCCGCAAUGGACGAAAGUCUGACGGAGCAACGCCGCGUGAGCGAAGAAGGUCUUCGGAUCGUAAAGCUCUGUUGUCAGGGAAGAACAAGUACCGUUCGAACAGGGCGGUACCUUGACGGUACCUGACCAGAAAGCCACGGCUAACUACGUG